rnacentral:rRNA from 1 species
UACAGAGGUCUCAAGCGUUGUUCGGAUUCAUUGGGCGUAAAGGGUGCGUAGGCGGCGCGGUAAGUCGGGUGUGAAAUCUCGGAGCUUAACUCCGAAACUGCAUUCGAUACUGCCGUGCUUGAGGACUGGAGAGGAGACUGGAAUUUACGGUGUAGCGGUGAAAUGCGUAGAUAUCGUAAGGAAGACCAGUGGCGAAGGCGGGGCCCUGGACAGAUCCUGACGCUGAGGCACGAAGGCCAGGGGAGCAAACGGG